rnacentral:tRNA from 1 species
GCUGUGUAGCUCAGUGGUACAGCACCUGGCUACCACAUGCGAGGCCCUGAGUUCAAUCCUCAGUACCACA